CGGAGAAAUAUAAUAAACGUCACCUCAACACCGAGACAGACCGGAAUGAACUAAUCGUUAGUCAGUGCAGCUACAAGGAAUGACUGAAGCAAACCCCUUGAUUAUACAUGGUGGAUAAAUCGAUCCAUUAAUUUUGUGUUGUGGUUUUUGUUUUUGUUUUAUGAACUGUUCAAUGAAAGCGUCAAUCGAUUUAUAUAUAUAUAAAUAUAGUAAUAAAUAAU